CCCUCUGUAGCUCAGUGGAUAGAGCAGCGGUCUUCUAAGCCGCUGGUCGCAGGUUUGAACCCCGUCAGAGGGA
rnacentral:tRNA from 1 species